AUUGAACGCUGGCGGCAUGCUUUACACAUGCCAGUCGAACGGCAGCGCGGGCUUCGGCCUGGCGGCGAGUGGCGAACGGGUGAGUAAUACAUCGGAACGUGCCCAGUAGUGGGGGAUAGCUCGGCGAAAGCCGGAUUAAUACCGCAUACGACCUGAGGGUGAAAGCGGGGGAUCUUCGGACCUCGCGCUAUUGGAGCGGCCGAUGGCAGAUUAGCUAGUUGGUGGGGUAAAGGCCUACCAAGGCGACGAUCUGUAGCUGGUCUGAGAGGACGACCAGCCACACUGGGACUGAGACACGGCCCAGACUCCUACGGGAGGCAGCAGUGGGGAAUUUUGGACAAUGGGCGAAAGCCUGAUCCAGCAAUGCCGCGUGUGUGGUGAAGGCCUUCGGGUUGUAAAGCACUUUUGGCGGGAACGAAAAGGACUGUGCCAAUACCACGGUUCGAUGACGGUACCCGCAGAAUAAGCACCGGCUAACUACGUG
rnacentral:rRNA from 1 species